AGAGUUUGAUCCUGGCUCAGGACGAACGCUGGCGGCGUGCUUAACACAUGCAAGUCGAACGGUGACCUCGGAGCUUGCUCCGGGCGAUCAGUGGCGAACGGGUGAGUAACACGUGAGUAACCUGCCCCAGACUCUGGGAUAACCCCGGGAAACCGGAGCUAAUACCGGAUAUGACACGAAGAGGCAUCUCUAUCGUGUGGAAAGUUCUUCGGUCUGGGAUGGACUCGCGGCCUAUCAGCUAGUUGGUGAGGUAACGGCUCACCAAGGCGACGACGGGUAGCCGGCCUGAGAGGGCGACCGGCCACACUGGGACUGAGACACGGCCCAGACUCCUACGGGAGGCAGCAGUGGGGAAUAUUGCACAAUGGGCGAAAGCCUGAUGCAGCGACGCCGCGUGGGGGAUGACGGCCUUCGGGUUGUAAACCCCUUUCAGCAGGGAAGAAGCGAAAGUGACGGUACCUGCAGAAGAAGCACCGGCUAACUACGUGCCAGCAGCCGCGGUA
rnacentral:rRNA from 1 species